AGAGUUUGAUCCUGGCUCAGGAUGAACGCUAGCUACAGGCUUAACACAUGCAAGUCGAGGGGCAUCAGGAAGAAAGCUUGCUUUCUUUGCUGGCGACCGGCGCACGGGUGAGUAACACGUAUCCAACCUGCCCUUUACUCGGGGAUAGCCUUUCGAAAGAAAGAUUAAUACCCGAUGGCAUAAUGAUUCCGCAUGGUUUCAUUAUUAAAGGAUUCCGGUAAAGGAUGGGGAUGCGUUCCAUUAGGUUGUUGGUGAGGUAACGGCCCACCAAGCCUUCGAUGGAUAGGGGUUCUGAGAGGAAGGUCCCCCACAUUGGAACUGAGACACGGUCCAAACUCCUACGGGAGGCAGCAGUGAGGAAUAUUGGUCAAUGGGCGCUAGCCUGAACCAGCCAAGUAGCGUGAAGGAUGAAGGCUCUAUGGGUCGUAAACUUCUUUUAUAUAAGAAUAAAGUGCAGUAUGUAUACUGUUUUGUAUGUAUUAUAUGAAUAAGGAUCGGCUAACUCCGUGCCAGCAGCCGCGGUAAUACGGAGGAUCCGAGCGUUAUCCGGAUUUAUUGGGUUUAAAGGGAGCGUAGGUGGACUGGUAAGUCAGUUGUGAAAGUUUGCGGCUCAACCGUAAAAUUGCAGUUGAUACUGUCAGUCUUGAGUACAGUAGAGGUGGGCGGAAUUCGUGGGGUAGCGGUGAAAUGCUUAGAUAUCACGAAGAACUCCGAUUGCGAAGGCAGCUCACUGGACUGCAACUGACACUGAUGCUCGAAAGUGUGGGUAUCAAACAGGAUUAGAUACCCUGGUAGUCCACACAGUAAACGAUGAAUACUCGCUGUUUGCGAUAUACAGUAAGCGGCCAAGCGAAAGCAUUAAGUAUUCCACCUGGGGAGUACGCCGGCAACGGUGAAACUCAAAGGAAUUGACGGGGGCCCGCACAAGCGGAGGAACAUGUGGUUUAAUUCGAUGAUACGCGAGGAACCUUACCCGGGCUUAAAUUGCAGUGGAAUGAUGUGGAAACAUGUCAGUGAGCAAUCACCGCUGUGAAGGUGCUGCAUGGUUGUCGUCAGCUCGUGCCGUGAGGUGUCGGCUUAAGUGCCAUAACGAGCGCAACCCUUAUCUUCAGUUACUAACAGGUCAUGCUGAGGACUCUGGAGAGACUGCCGUCGUAAGAUGUGAGGAAGGUGGGGAUGACGUCAAAUCAGCA
rnacentral:rRNA from 1 species